GAUGAACGCUGGCGGCGUGCCUAAUACAUGCAAGUCGAGCGAAUGGAUUAAGAGCUAGCUCUUAUGAAGUUAGCGGCGGACGGGUGAGUAACACGUGGGUAACCUGCCCAUAAGACUGGGAUAACUCCGGGAAACCGGGGCUAAUACCGGAUAACAUUUUGCACCGCCUGGUUCAAAAUUGAAAGGCGGCAUCAGCUGUCACUUAUGGAUGGACCCGCGUCGCAUUAGCUAGUGGGUGUGGUAACGGCUCACCAAGGCAACGAUGCGUAGCCGACCUGAGAGGGUGAUCGGCCACACUGGGACUGCAACACGGCCCAGACUCCUACGGGAGGCAGCAGUAGGGAAUCUUCCGCAAUGGACGAAAGUCUGACGGAGCAACGCCGCGUGAGUGAUGAAGGCUUUCGGGUCGUAAAACUCUGUUGUUAGGGAAGAACAAGUGCUAGUUGAAUAAGCUGGCACCUUGACGGUACCUAACCAGAAAGCCACGGCUAACUACGUGCCAGCCGCCGCGGUAAUAC
rnacentral:rRNA from 1 species